rnacentral:misc_RNA from 1 species
GUUACAAAUUGUUCUUUCUUCAGUUGAAACUGCCAAUUUCUUAUUCUGUGAAAUAUGGUUUAACUGAUUAUAAAUGCCAUCGUCUGGAUUGUGCGUCUGUGAUGCAUCCAUAAUGUUUCUGUAUUAGAAUCAGAAUUGUUGUCUUCAAUAAUUUGAGUGAUUCGCAAGUAAAGUUUGUAUGAAUUUGAAAUCCAGUGAUCUUGUUU